rnacentral:rRNA from 1 species
UACGAGGGGUGCAAGCGUUAUUCGGAAUAAUUGGGCGUAAAGGGUGCGUAGACGGUAUGUUUAGUCUGUUAUUAAAUUCUCCGGCUUAACCGGGGGGCUGUAAUGGAAACUGGCAAACUAGAGGAUGCGAGAGAGAAGUGGAAUUCCCGGAGUAGCGGUAAAAUGCGUAGAUCUCGGGAGGAACACCGAUGGCGAAGGCAGCUUCUUGGCUCAUUUCUGACGUUGAUGCACGAAAGCGUGGGGAGCAAACAGG